rnacentral:pre_miRNA from 3 species
UUUUAUGGAUGAGCAAAGAAAGUGGUUUCUUGAGAUAGAAUCUACUUUUGGUGAAGACGCUGUGAA